rnacentral:rRNA from 1 species
CACGUAGGGGGCGAGCGUUGUCCGGAUUUAUUGGGCGUAAAGAGCUCGUAGGCGGCUCGGUAAGUCAGGUGUGAAAACUCUAGGCUCAACCUAGAGACGCCACCUGAUACUGCUGUGGCUAGAGUCCGGUAGGGGAGCAUGGAAUUCCUGGUGUAGCGGUGAAAUGCGCAGAUAUCAGGAGGAACACCGGUGGCGAAGGCGGGUCUCUGGGCCGAUAUUGACGCUGAGGAGCGAAAGCGUGGGGAGCGAACAGG